AGAAUCAACGCUGGCGGCGUGCCUCAGACAUGCAAGUCGAACGAUUAAACUUUCCUUCGGGAAAGAUAUAAAGUGGCGCACGGGUGAGUAGCACGUAAGUAAUCUACCUUUGGGUGGGGAAUAACAGCCGGAAACGGCUGCUAAUACCGCAUAAUGCAGCGGCUCGACAUCGAGACAGUUGUUAAAGCGGGGGAUCGCAAGACCUCGCGCCUAAAGAGGAGCCUGCGGCGGAUUAGCUAGUUGGUAAGGUAAUGGCUUACCAAGGCUACGAUCUGUAACCGGUCUUAGAGGACGGUCGGUCACACUGACACUGAAUAACGGGUCAGACUCCUACGGGAGGCAGCAGUCGGGAAUUUUGGGCAAUGGGCGAAAGCCUGACCCAGCAACGCCGCGUGAAGGAUGAAAGUAUUUCGGUAAUGUAAAACUUCGAAAAGAAAUAGGAAAGAAAUAAAAUGAACGGUAACUAAUUUAAUAAAGGUUCCGGACUUAAACUACGUGCCAAGCCAAGCCGC
rnacentral:rRNA from 1 species